ACGUAGGGUGCGAGCGUUAAUCGGAAUUACUGGGCGUAAGGCGUGCGCAGGCGGUUUUGUAAGACAGAGGUGAAAUCCCCGGGCUCAACCUGGGAACUGCCUUUGUGACUGCAUGGCUAGAGUGCGUCAGAGGGAGGUGGAAUUCCGCGUGUAGCAGUGAAAUGCGUAGAGAUGCGGAGGAACACCGAUGGCGAAGGCAGCCCCCUGGGUCGACACUGACGCUCAUGCACGAAAGCGUGGGGAGCAAACAG
rnacentral:rRNA from 1 species